ensembl:lncRNA
ACUGUAUGUGUGUGUUUAUAUAUACAUAAUAAAUAUACACAGUACACACACAUAUACAGGUAUUAUGCAAACAAAAUGCGAUGAAUUGUUUGACACCACUUUGUUUUUGUCUAUACUACUGAAUCUGUGAGUACUGUAUUUAAACAUUUACAAACUGGACCUAUUCAGUUUCAUUGUAAGUGCUAUACUGUAACCCAGAUUUUUUCCUUCUCUAAAAGAAAAAGGAGGACAAGUGGAAAUUAAUUUUUGUGGUAAUCGACAUUAUGCCACAAGUGCUGUCAAUUGAGCUUAAGUCACAUUGAAAACAUGAUAUUCCUUGAGCUUAACUUUUAUUGGAACCUGAACGUUCCCAAAUGGAAAAUUCAGUGGAGGAAAUUCAGCUUUGCUGUUAGUCAGUCGAAGCUCUGCUGCUCUGCUUAUUUUGUAUUUCAUCAGUGACUGAGCCAGUGAAGCAUUAAGUAUGAAUUUAUAUCAAAACCAGUUCUAGACAAUUUCCAGCUCUCAUAUCAUCUGCUCCAGAGGAUCAUGACUUUGGUUGAAACUUCAAUGGUGGUGUUGUGUUCUGGUUUUCAUUGAAAUCGUUCGUAACCGCACAUGGUAUUCCAAGAGCAUUUGUAGGUCCCGGGGCCCGAAGUUGCAUGAGUGUUUUCCAUUAAGGAUUGCGCUAAAUUACGGUGUGGUGAAAAACUGGAGGCUCAGCAUUUCAUCCCCCCGCUCCUCUUUCUACCCCUCCUUCUCUCCAACCCAGACCCCCGACCCCCUCCUUCUCCUGACACAGCACUUUGCCCGCCUGUGCUCUGCAGCCGGUCCGUGACAUCACAGCUCACAUCUCGAUAAACGUCAAAACAUUCCCCAGCACGAUGAGUCUCAGAUGCCUGGCUAAAUGCUUUCCAUAUGGGCCCUUUAUCCCCAGCUCCCAUUGGGGAAGGAGGAGGGGAGGAAGAAGGGAUGAGGGCUGAGGGAUUGAGAGAACUUUGGCCGGCUGAAGGAAAUGAGAGCUUUCAUCUUUUCUCUCUCGUUGGCCCUGGCCUGGGUUUCUCCAAAGAGUCGUUAUUCUCUGAGAAGACCAGUCUGGUUUUGUCAUCUGUCAGGAUAUCUACCUUAUGCAUAUCUCUCUGUCUCUCUCUUCUCCCCCUCUCUCUCUCUCUGUUAGGAAACGGAGUGGAGAAUGUUUUCCACUGCAGUGAGGAUACCUUUUCCUCCAGUGGUGUGGGUUUGACUUGGCAGCAGUUCAUCCAGCAACCAGUUUCUACAGCCUGGGAACAUCCUGCCUGCUUCACAGAGAGAUCAGGCUCAGUCGGGAGCAUGUGAGGUCAGACUUUUCACAGCAUUCAGGGAUCAAAGCCCUCCUGCCAGCCAUCUCUCCCCUGGGCACAGUGCCCUUCUGACACCCCCUCCUUCUGCUGUCCAACGUGGGAGGAAGACAGCUGCUGGGAAACUCUGAGCACAGACAGGGGAUCGUACUGCUGUAGAGCUACCUAUCAAAACCAGCAGGUCCAUGUUUGAUUGCUUUUCAUGGGCACUUAGACUUUGCUGGCACAGUAGAUGUAAUAACUAUAUCUUUACGAGGGUUUGGGUGCUUCCUGGGGUCCUGUGCCAACCAAGCAGCUGUCAUUGAGAUGAAUGAGAAUGCAAAAAGAUACCUUUCUCCAGGUAUAACAGACAUUCAAAAACAAAGAUAUACCAACAAACAUUUAUAUGCACUGCCAUUCAAAAUGUGCGCACACACACACACACACACACACACACACACACAUAUAUAUAGUAAAUAUAAUAUAUUAUAAUAUUAUAUUAAAAUAUUUUUGAAAGAAGCCUCCUAUGCUUCCCAAUGCUGCAUUUGUUUGAUUAAAAAAAGAAAGAAAAAAAUACAAAAAAGAAAUACAAUUAAAAUAGGUAACACUUUAUUUUUAGGUGUCCUUGUUACACGUUACAUGUACUUACUAUUGUAAUAACAACAUAGUUACAUACAAGUAACCCUAAACCAAACCCUAACCAUACAGUAAGUACAUGUAGUUAAUUAAUUUUUCGCAGUCCCUAAAUGUAUAAUUAAACUGUAACAAGGACACCUUAAAAGAAAGUAUAAAAUAAUUAUUUUGUUAUUUUAUUAUAAUGUAAUUACAAUGUUUCAACAUAAUUACUCCAGUCUUCAUUGCUACAUGAUUCUUCAGAAAUCAUUCUAAUAUGCUGGUUUUCUACUCAAGACACAUGUAUUAUCAUUAUCAGUGUUGGAAAUAGUGGUGCUGUUUAACAUUUUUUUGUAGAAACUGUGAUAAUUUUUUAAGGAUUUGUUGAUGAAAAAGAAAACAGCAUGUCUAUAAAAUCUUUUGUGACUUUAUAAAUGCCUUACUGUCAUAUCUGUCAUUUAUCUGUAUACAGAGUUUGCCAUUAGCACAUUUUGCUAUAUGGAAUGGAUGGAGUGCAGUGCUGUGAUAUUGAUAACCUCACAACUCAAACAGACUCAUGACUCAUUAACACUCUGUGUGAACUUUGACCUUGUCUGUUAUUUGUCACACUCUCCACACACACAGUCAAACCCUAAGAUGCACUUUCAGGACUGCAAGAGCAAUGUAGAGUUACCCAUAACCCCGCUGUUAUGGGUAACUAUCUGAGAAGCACAAGUGGCCAAUUGCAUUUUUUUUUUUUGUUCCCUUAGUCUCAGUAUUUCUCUUUCUCUCUUUUUUAAUAAAAUGAUUGAGACAUUUUCUCUCUGUGUAGAU